AAGCCGGAAUUGCUAGUAAUGGCAGGUCAGCAUACUGCCGUGAAUACGUUCCCGGGCCCUUGUACACACCGCCCGUCACACCAUGAGAGUCGGGAACACCCGAAGUCCGUAGUCUAACCGCAAGGGGGCGCGGCCGAAGGUGGGUCCGGUAAUUGGGGUGAAGUCGUAACAAGGUAGC
rnacentral:rRNA from 1 species